rnacentral:rRNA from 1 species
GGGGAAUAUUGGGCAAUGGGCGAAAGCCUGACCCAGCAACGCCGCGUGAAGGGAGAAGGCCCUCGGGUUGUAAACUUCUUUUAUCAAGGACGAAAAAAAUGACGGUACUUGAUGAAUAAGCCACGGCUAACUACGUGCCAGCAGCCGCGGUAAUACGUAGGUGGCAAGCGUUAUCCGGAUUUACUGGGUGUAAAGGGCGUGUAGGCGGGACUGUAAGUCAGAUGUGAAAACCAUGGGCUCAACCCAUGGCCUGCAUUUGAAACUAUAGUUCUUGAGUGUCGGAGAGGUAAUCGGAAUUCCGUGUGUAGCGGUGAAAUGCGUAGAUAUACGGAGGAACACCAGUGGCGAAGGCGGAUUACUGGACGAUAACUGACGCUGAGGCGCGAAAGCGUGGGGAGCAAAC